CCGGGUAUGGUGUAGCGGUAACAUCGUUGACUCUCAUUGCUCCCCAAUCAAAAGGGGUGGUGAUGCCUGCUCUCAACAGCCCGGGGUUCGACUCCCCGUAUCCGAG